rnacentral:rRNA from 1 species
UAGGGAAUCUUCCACAAUGGGUGCAAACCUGAUGGAGCAAUGCCGCGUGAGUGAAGAAGGUCUUCGGAUCGUAAAGCUCUGUUGUUAGAGAAGAACACGUGCUAAGUAACUACUAGCGCCUUGACGGUAUCUAACCAGAAAGUCACGGCUAACUACGUGCCAGCAGCCGCGGUAAUACGUAGGUGACAAGCGUUGUCCGGAUUUAUUGGGCGUAAAGGGAGCGCAGGCGGUCUGUUUAGUCUAAUGUGAAAGCCCACGGCUUAACCGUGGAACGGCAUUGGAAACUGACAGACUUGAAUGUAGAAGAGGAAAAUGGAAUUCCAAGUGUAGCGGUGGAAUGCGUAGAUAUUUGGAGGAACACCAGUGGCGAAGGCGAUUUUCUGGUCUAACAUUGACGCUGAGGCUCGAAAGCGUGGGGAGCGAACAGGAUUAGAUACCCUGGUAGUCCACGCCGUAAACGAUGAGUGCUAAGUGUUGGGGGCUUUCCGGCCCUCGGUGCUGGAGCUAACGUAUUAAGCACUCCGCCUGGGGAUUACGACCGCAAGGUUG